GGACGAGUGGAUUAUCAUGUCCUCCGAAUUCCGGCAAAAUUAAAGUAUACAAAUGGUGUUCAUGCAAAGAGGAAAGAGAUAAAGAAUCGGAGGACAUGAUGCUGAUAUGUGAAACCACAAACAAAAAGAACUGUCCAGGUAAAGGCUACUACCAUCAGGAGUGCCUAGGAAUUGAAAGAGUACCUAAAGGAAAGUGGCUGUGCGACUUCUGCAAACAGAAAUCUAAAAAAUAAUUUAAUUGAAAACAUUAAAGAACGAAUAAACCGUCCAGUUGCUUGCUAAAGAU